CCUGAUCUGAUUCUGCUACCGCAGAAUCAAAGAGUUAACAAGUCUUUUUCUAGCCGAAAUGACAUUGGAAAAGUCUACCCUAGAUGGUGAUAGUCCAGUAGGCGAAAGGGAAAGACCUCUUUUUUCAGGCACCCGAGUAUCAUGGGAUAAGGGAAGCCCUGUGAGAAUUUAGGAGGACCACCUCCUAAGGCUAAAUACUAACUGGUGACCGAUAGUGAACUAGUACCGUGAGGGAAAGGUGAAAAGUACCCCGGGAGGGGAGUGAAAUAGUACCUGAAACCGUAUACCUACAAGCAGUGGGAGCACUAUUUUUUAAGAUUUAUCUUAGGAAAGUGUGACCGCGUGCCUUUUGUAGAAUGAGCCGGCGAGUUACGAUAUCUAGCUAGGUUAAGCAGCAGCUGCUGCGGAGCCGCAGCGAAAGCGAGUCUUAAAUAGGGCGAUUUUAGUUAGGUGGCGUAGACCCGAAACCGAGUGAUCUAACCAUGGCCAGGGUGAAGCAGGUCUGAUCGCCUGUGAAGGCCCGAACCCACUUAUGUUGAAAAAUGAGGGGAUGAGCUGUGGUUAGGGGUGAAAGACCAAUCAAACUCGGAGAUAGCUGGUUCUCCUCGAAAUAGCUUUAGGGCUAGCCUCAAAUGUUUGCCUAUGGAGGUAGAGCACUGAAUGGACUAAGGGCCCCACCAGGUUACUGAACCCAAUCAAACUCCGAAUGCCAUAGGUUUAUAGUUUGGGAGUCAGACUGCGGGGGAUAAGCUUCGUAGUCGAAAGGGAAACAGCCC
rnacentral:rRNA from 1 species